UUUUUUUUUUUUCUCUUACUCACAUUUUCUUCAUCUCUCUUCUUCAACGAAGAACAAAAUCAUUGAUCGGAAAUUUGGAAAUCCUUAGAUCGCAUCAGAGAAUUUCUAUAAUUUGAGAUUUGAUUGAGGGAAAGCUUUUCACAAUAGAUUGGUCGGGGUUUUGUGGGGCUCUAUCUUCUUCAUUUGUGUAUGAUUUUUUUUUAGAGAUCUGGUUUUGAAGGGAUCGCCGUCUGGUUUGGUGUCUUCACUGUGAAAAUGUCGAUGCUACCAUCUAAAGGCGAUAUUCAAAUUAGGGAGGUUUGGAAUGAUAAUCUUGAAGCUAAAUUUUCUCUGAUUCGGAAGAUUGUUGAUGAUUUCCCUUAUGUCGCUAUGGAUACGGAGUUUCCAGGGAUUGUUCUUCAUCCUUUCGGGAAUGUUAAAACCAGUUCUAAUUAUCAUUAUCAGACCUUGAUUGGGACAGGGCUAGAGAACAGGGCCGGCAGGGAAGCUGUGAUUGAGCGACCAUCUGUAGCUCAACCUGCCCACUCAAGCAUCAGAAAGCUGGAAUUUUGGUAGCAAAUCUUAUUUGUUAGUUUAUUAUUGUUCCCAAUGCACUGGCUUGUAUUAUAUGUGAAGGAUGAAGCUUUCAGGAUUAUGCUUUGAUGGAAUAGUGUCAUGUUAAUGGAGUUUUCAACGGCAAUACUGUAUUUAAAUUACAACAACUUGAGCCAACCAUGUAUCUUGAAUUUACCACAUUUUUAUUUGAUUCUCUAUACCUCUCCAA